rnacentral:rRNA from 1 species
GACGAACGCUGGCGGCGUGCUUAACACAUGCAAGUCGAACGAGUGGCGAACGGGUGAGUAAUACGUGAGUAACCUGCCCUCUUUUUGGGAUAAGCCUUGGAAACGGGGUCUAAUACCGGAUAAAGGGGGAUGGGCUCGCGGCCUAGCAGAUUGUUGGUGGGGGGAUGGCCUACCAAGGCGGUGACGGGUAGCCGGCCUGAGAGGCUAAACGGGCACAUAGGGACGGAGAUACGUCCCAGACUCCUACGGUGGGGAGCAGUGGGGGAAAUUGCACAAUGGGCGAAAGCCUGAUGCAGCGACGCCGCGUGGGGGAUGAAGGCUUUCGGGUUGUAAACUUCGUUCGCUAUCGAGCGGGUAGGUGGAGAAGAAGCGCCGGCUAACUACGUGCCAGCAGCCGCGGUAAUAC